rnacentral:lncRNA from 1 species
AGGAGAAAAAUACUUAACUAGUGAGUUGCUCGAUCAUUUAAAAUAAAAUAGUAUACUCUCUCAAUGGACACUUCCUUACACUCCAUAAUUAAAUAAAAUUACAGAAAGGAGGAAUCACACUUAUUAGAUAUGGUGUGGUCUAUGAUGUGUGUUGGUUAUAGAACCCCCCAGCCGAAGUUCGUGUCAGGAAUGACCCCACGGGGAUUCUAUCGGCAUCCGACCUGCGGCGGCAGAGAGACU